rnacentral:lncRNA from 1 species
GAAAUUUGUGGAAGACAAAUUCAGAAGUCUAAAGCUUGGACUAGAACGAGCAGACAAGCUUGCAAGGAAUUUGGGUAAAAUUGAAUAUGAGGAAGGGAAAUUAGGGAUUUGGACUCUUGGGAAAUUAAAAAGAAAAAAUAAAAGAAAUAAAAAUAAUGUCUUCCAUUUUAAAAGAAAAAGCCACAUUAAUGAUAAAUCAUUCCUAAGCUUUGAAAACAG